GGCGAAGGAAGACGCAGACGAUGAAAUUGCUAAAUAUGAUGGUACGUGGUCUGUGGAGCAGCUGAAGGAGAAUAAAGUACCAGGAGACAUGGGUCUGGUUCUGAAGUCCCGGGCCAAACAUCACGCCAUCGCCUCCCUGUUGGACAGACCCUUCCUCUUCCGGGACGACGCCCUAGUCGUACAGUAUGAGGUGAACUUCCAGGAUGGUAUUGACUGUGGUGGAGCCUACAUCAAACUGCUGUCAGACGAAGAUGACCUGGAUCUGGUACGUUGCUG